GUGAACGCUGGCGGUAGGCCUAACCCAUGCAAGUCGAACGGCAGCACAGUAAGAGCUUGCUCUUACGGGUGGCGAGUGGCGGACGGGUGAGGAAUACAUCGGAAUCUACUUUUUCGUGGGGGAUAACGUAGGGAAACUUACGCUAAUACCGCAUACGACCUACGGGUGAAAGCAGGGGAUCUUCGGACCUUGCGCGAUUGAAUGAGCCGAUGUCGGAUUAGCUAGUUGGCGGGGUAAAGGCCCACCAAGGCGACGAUCCGUAGCUGGUCUGAGAGGAUGAUCAGCCACACUGGAACUGAGACACGGUCCAGACUCCUACGGGAGGCAGCAGUGGGGAAUAUUGGACAAUGGGCGCAAGCCUGAUCCAGCCAUACCGCGUGGGUGAAGAAGGCCUUCGGGUUGUAAAGCCCUUUUGUUGGGAAAGAAAAGCAGCAGGUUAAUACCCCGCUGUUCUGACGGUACCCAAAGAAUGAGCACCGGCUAACUUCGUG
rnacentral:rRNA from 1 species